CCCGAGGACUCGAAAGGUGAACGAAUCUUUUCUGUUUACUGAUCCGAUGCGAUGUUGCGCAUGCGCAGUCAACACAAAAUGAACGAAUCACUCUCCGAGACGACUCGAUGUUCUCGAGUCAUGGGAAAGAUCCGUUCAAAAUGAACGAAUCGUUCGUGAACGACACAUCACUAAUUGGGAGAUUUCCAGUCCGUUCACUACAGGGUGCGGCCAGUGAGUGAAGACGGAAGCCGAGCAGUUCCGUGUGGUUUGUUUUGCUUCGUCACUGCACCCCGAGUUACAGAGCAUUUAUUGUCUGAAAGGGUUGUAAGAAAAUUGGGAAAAAAAGAAAUGUAGACAAACAUGCCCAUGUUUUGAGAAAUUUAUUUAUUCUACAGAGGAGAAGAAGAAGAAGAAGAAGAAGAAGAGAUCUAUAUUAGAUGAUUUAGAGCUGAGGAAGAAGUGGAAGCAAGAAAUAACUACAGUUCUGAUUAAGAUGAGCUCCAACACCAGCUUGAAGAUUUUCAGUCUUCAAACAGCAAUCGGAGGAAACCCACUUCAGAUCUUUUCACCAUCCAGCUCAUAUUCACUUAAAGGAACGUAAUCAUGAAGUAUGGCAAACUUGCAGCUGCAGGAUGUUUAGUAAUUCUUCUUCCAUUGUUAGCCUUAAUUGUACUUGUGAUAUGUGUACGCUGCUUAUCAGGGGGCCAUGAAGAGUUUAAAAUGAAAGAAAUUUGGCUUACCGACCCCCUACCCCCCACUUCAUUUUGUGUAUCUAAAUCUUCCCCAUUACAACCAGUAACUGAUAAUGCAUGCUUUAUCCUUUUCUAUCCCAUAACCAUCAUAAUCAUUAUAUCAGACCCACCCAGUUUAACAGCUGGAUUUCUUUUAAUGAAAUUCUUGUAAUGUAAGAAAAAUAAAACGAAGAAGGCGUUGAAGAUCGCAGUCGACAAAAUACAUAAAUUACUUUGGGUUCAUCGGAGUCAAAAAGAACGCAGGACAAAUCCUGCUCAGAUAUUUUAUACAGUGUUUCCUGUGUGUAAUUUAAAUGAGUUUCACAUUAAAUGUAAAUUAGUGUAAGAACUGUGUAUUCCCCAAAAUGGCCGGGUGAUACUGUCGUCUAGCCGGAUGUCCUUAAAUGGUAAUCACAGUAACGUACACCUUGGCUAGGUAUUGUUAUAGGUGUUAUCACUCAAAUGGUCGGGCGAUACUAAAUGGUCAUCACGGUCACAUACACCCUUUGUUCAGUGAUGGUUCUUGAUGUCUUGCUGCCGCUCCCAUACUAAUAAUUGAUUGGAUUAAGUGUUCUAAAUGUUUGGUAAGGUUCCUUUAAGCCUAUGUAAAAAUACCAUAAAGAUAAGCUGAAUUGAAUUUAAUAUAUUUCUAUAUGAUAUGUAAACCUUUUUUGGGAAUGAGUUCUUUCAGAUGUGUACUGUGGAGUGGAAUCUGGGUUGAGGCAGUCUGUAGUUUCUUACAGUCCCCCCCUUGAUGCUUUUGGCCCUGAAGCAUCACAACACUUCCUUUACACAGAUUACACCUCCCAUUUCAGGCAGGUGCCCAGUGGCGGUGAAGCCCUGCAGUGGGUUGUCUUCAUUCGGCCCUCAGAGAAUCUUACCGGUCAUCGAAACAUCACCUCAUGCACACUGAUUAUGGCUCCAUUCUACUAGGCAAACUUAUCACAAUGUUUCUUCUUAAAAUUUGGUUCUAUGUACAAAUAUUUCUUGGGUUUGGAGCAGAGGCACUCAGGAACCAUCAUAGCCAAUGAGAACAUCCUACAUUGAUUAUUGAAGUAUCUGCAAUCUGACAUUUCAAUAUGGAACACACAUACAGCAUAGCAUAAUGCACUGACAAAUGAGGAAGAUGCAUUCACAAACAGCAGUUUUCUGACUGAAAUAGGCUUCCUUACUAUGAUUUACUGGAAGGUGUCCUGUUAGGUGGUCUGUUGGUCAGCAGGUUGCAACAGUACUGUGAUACAUCAGGAAUGGUGUUGUCCAGAAGUCCUUUACAUUCAUGUCACACUCUCUCCGUAGCACUGUUCAUCCAUGUCUGGAAACCAUGCUGUAAGAUUCACCUGGGCUGGAACAUGGAUCCAUUGUAGGUCAUUGAUUAGUGCUUUGGGAUAGGGGCUCGUCACUACACACAGAGGUUUAGGGGUAGGGUCCACCAUCCUGGUCCAUCACCACAUCUUUAUUUCUUGUUUUGUUAGGGAAAAACACUUGCAAACAUAAUGAAUUUAUCCAUGUAUGAGUGGCAUCAGAUUUUUAUGGUUUUUAAUUGACUGUUGUGGGACCAUCUCUUAACAGGCUGUUGGUAUUUAGUUUUGUGGCAGAGCUUGUAAACUGAAUUGCUGCAUGGUCUCAAACAGUUAGUGGACCAUGUUCCCUCAGGUUGGUAGGUCUUUACCAUUACCUCAUCACUAGUUUCAAAUUUGUGAUGAUGCACUUCCUGAACAAAAGACAUCUUCUUUUUCUGACCAUACCAAAUUUGCUGAGUGGCUUGACGAUAAAUAGCAGGCAAAGAGUUACACAGAUUUUUGGGCUCCUCACUCAGUCUGUUUACAGUGGCCUGUAGCUGAUCAGUUUUCGAUCUUUCUUAAGAGAAAAUUUUUGGAAAUAUGUCCUUCCUUGCCAUAUCAAUAACUAGGACGUUAUCAGGGUUACAAGGCGGUGGUCUUUCCUUUUUAUAUCCAGUAGCUUGGUCCUCAUUUCUACAGGAAAUCUUCCGGCCUCUAUUCCUAUGGAGCUUUUUAACACCUACAGCUGACACAGGAUUGGAUCUCUUUAAGUUAGCAUGGCUGUUGUAAAAGUGUGUCAUUUUAGAAAUGAUGUCAUUAUAGUCAGAGAGAUGGGUCACAAACAUUGUUACAGCAGAACGAGUGUGUGGAUCACAUUUAUUAAUCAAAGCAGAUUGGAAACUGACGUCAUUCUGAGUAAUGUUAGGAUUACCACUGAAAGUUUUGAAUACCUCCAAUAAACCCUCUGACCAUAGAAGAGGUCAUUGGUACCUCCCCUCCUUCACUAGCAUGCAUCGAUUGGUGCCAUGGGAAAUCUAACUGUACAGUCAGAGUACUGACUACUGACCAACCGAGAAUCUCUUUCCGAAUUUGCAUCACCAUCUUCAUGCAAAUCUGUCAUUUGUGGAACUUGGUUACACAACAUGCUACCUUAUUGGUGUUUUUCUCAGUUGUGCAAUUUUUGAUUAGAAAUUGACAAGCAGCCUUUUAAACUUUACAGAGCUGCGGUGCGUCGGGCUCAAUACACGAUCACCAGUUUCAGUUUCUAGUUAUAAUUCAGCUGCCACACUGCGUCGGGCUGAUUCACUUACUUUAGAAUUAUAACAACUACACAACAAGUUUCAGUUACUUUAGAGACAACGAUUCCAAUACAACUCUGUCACCGCAGUGCAUCGGGUUAAUUCAGUUCCGUUAGAAUCUCAAACAGAAAUGUACAGAAUAGGCUUAUGAACUCCUGCUUCUGCUCAAUAACUCUACUCUAAUUUCUAUUCUGCCCUUAACUUUUCUUUUCUAGAUUUUUUAAACGAGGGGUUUCCUAAAUAAAACAGUAAAAGAAAAAAAAAACGUUUUUCUUAUCUUUCCCCACUUUUUUCGGAAAUCCCACGCUGGGUGGCUCACCAAUGUAAUAAAAAUGUAAGCCUUUUUUGGGAAUGAGCUCUUUCAGAUGUGUACUGUGGAGUAAUCUGGGUUGAGGCAGUCUGUAGUUUCUUACAUCAACCCAAAAUAUCUUUGUAUAAAUUCAAUGAAAAAAAAAAUAAAAAUUGUUUAUUCAUUACUACAGAAUUCACAGGAGUAAUCAAUAAUUCAAUUUAAAAUACACCACCAGUGAAAAGUUUGGACACCUUCUAAUCCCAUGGUGUUUCCUGAUGUUUAUUUCUCUCUACAUUGUAAAACAAUGCUGAAGGCGGCCGAAAUCCACAAUAAUGUCCUUUGAACAGUUGAUAUUGAGAUAUGUCUGCUACUGAUGCUGUGUAAAGCCUUCAUAACGCCUCUAAUCUGAGGUGCUGUUAAUUGGUGAUUUCUGAGGCUGGUCACUCUAAAUGAACUUCUCCUCUGCAGCAGAGGUCAGUUUUGGUCUUGCUUUACUGGGAUGGUCUUCAUGUGAGACAGUUUCAUCAUGGGGCUUGAUGGGUUUUGCAAAUGCACUUGACAAUACUGUUCUUGUAAGAACUAUUCCAGAACACCUGACCUUCGUGUCUUAAAAUAACAACUGACUGGUUUUUGUUGUCAUUACAUAUGGAUUACUGAAGUCCAUGUGUGUUAUUUCAUAGUUUUGAAAUCUCCAGGAUUGUUCUAGAAUGUAGAAAAUAAAUCCCUAAACAAAAAACACUGAAUUAAAAGGUGUGUCCAAACUUUUGACUGGUAGUGUACAUGUUUCACUGGAUAAAUUCUAUGCAAUAUUUUAUACAAAACAUCCUUUACUUUAUUAUUAACAAAGAAUUUAUCAACCAUUCU